GCAUCGGUGGUUUAGUGGUAAAAUUAGCCGUUGCCAUUGGUUCUUCAAGAGCCUGUCAAUUCGGCUAGCCCCGGGUUCGAUUCCCGGCCGAUGCA
rfam:Pyrenochaeta sp. DS3sAY3a unplaced genomic scaffold IQ07scaffold_8, whole genome shotgun sequence.